GAGACACCAGAGAACUCCCUCUCUGCCAGCAAAAAUAGGUCAUGUGAGCACAGUGAGAUGGGGACCACCUACAAGGCAGGAACACAGGCCUCACCAACCAUGCCAGCACCCUGAGCUUGGACUUCUAGCCUCCAGAACUAAGUCCACGGGUUGAGCAUCCAGGUCUGGUGUGGUGGUUCCACAGUCAUCACAGAUCCCAGCUUCCGUCUUCCAUCCUGAAGAUCUUCUCAUGGUCCGAGAUGGCUAAUGGAGAUUCAGCCAUCAUGUCCACAUUUCGGACAAGGGAAAGCCAGGACUUUACUUCUACCAUUACUAGAGUGCUCCUCACACCGUAGCACACUUCAUGCAUGGGCUCCUGCUUCUGUCCUCCCCACCCAGCUGCCAUCAUCCUAGACUAUGAGUUCCUUCAAUGCAGGAGUCCUGUUCUAUUUACCCCUAUAUCCAGAAGAGCAAAGCGACAAAAAAACAAAACAAAACAAGGCAGGGCAAGUUAAUGAAGCUGAGCAAAGGUCACUCAGCUGGUAAGUACAGCAGAUGCAGGCGGUCUGACUACACCGCCUUAACUGAACUAUCACAAUAAACCACCUUUUCCCCAAAUGGGCAGGUAUAGCAGGAAGGCUACAAAAUGUCAUGGUGUAGCACUACACAAACAACACCCCGAGGUCCCAGAGCAUGGCGGAGAGCAAAUGAAUGAAGUAAAAAGAGACAAGGAAGAGAAAUUUCAUUAUUGUGGCUGCAUGAUUUGGACAGCCAAAAAAGCUAAACACCAUCCUAUCACAGGCUGUGGGAACAGCAGAGGCAAAUAUAGUAGUGAGAGCAAGCUGCAAUGCUGUCAACGACUGCCAAAAGUCUCAUCCUCUAAAAAGUGAGCCUGUCAAAUACCUGAGCAACUUUGCUGACAGCUUCAACUCUCACUAGCCAGGAAACAACUGGUGGAAAUAGUAAGAGGAGCAGAUACUAUGAAUAAUAAGUAAAGAAACAUUGCUUGAACCAAGAGGAAUAUGUAAAGAUGACCUGGCAGAGAGAUGAACUGCGACUUAUUUUCCUGUAGGAUCAUCAGACUGAGAAUGAGAAAGAAUAAAGAAGCAGAGGUAUUUCUCCCUCACUCCUGAUUCUAUCCCAACCAGAACCUAUCACGUACUACAACUCCCAAUGUGACUUAGAUGCACCCUGAAAGGCCAAGAGUUAGCCACAGGGGUUCUGGAAAGCAGGGCCAAUGGAAGUGGGAGGCAGUAGGAAACACACAGCAGGCAGGAAGCAAAAUGCCAACUCCACACACCUAAACUCACACUCCAGGUGUCCCUCUCAUAAGCUGCAUGACUUUAACAUGUUACUUAACCUCUCAGUUUCACAUUUCCUCACCUGUAAAGUCAGAAUAGUACCACCUUCUUAGGGUAACAGUGAAAUGAGACAACGAUAAAAAGCACUGAGCUCAGGGCCUGGCACCCAGGGAGUAGCCAAUAAACGCCAGGUGUUAAUAUGGUAAUUAUUACCCUGUAAGAGAUUUCUCUGUAACUCAUCAACUUUUCUACAAUGAUUUGCUUAUUGUUACUCCCACACCAAGCUUCAGGGCAUAUAAUGCAAACCCGGACAGAAAAGUAAGUAAAGUGAUCCUGCCCUCAUUUUCAUAUCAAUGUUUCAGGGCAAUCCAACCAAACGACAUUUAGAAAGCCCUAGAAUGUCACUGUGCUAGGCUAGGCUGGAUGGGGCCCAAGAGGUGGUUUGAGUAUAAGGUAACUCUGCCUUCAAAAACUGCAUGGUUUCUUCCAAAAACACACUACCAGUAAUUUCUCAUGAGUUGUAGAGGUUAGGUUGCAAACCAGUUGGCAAUGACAAGUAAUCCCCAAAAGAGCUACAAAAACAUGUCUUUGGUGUUUGAGGAUGUCUUUGGAUUAACUGUCCAGUAAUCUUUAAGAAAUUGACUGACUGAGGAUUGUACUGGCAACAAGCAGUGGAUCUCAUAUGGCCUGGUCUUUAAAGCCAGUCAUUCUGGGUCAUACGACUGGGUCAAGCCAGUCAUUUCAUGCAUUAGGAUGAAAACAAAAGGAAAAGGAAAAAAAGGUAAAUGAAGUAUCUAAGCAUGCGAUACUAACAUGCAGAAGAUAGGGAUAAAUACAUGAGAGACUAUCUCGUUCACCUCUGUCAAGCAGUAUUAGGGGAAGGUCAAAUCAGAAGUGCAAGCCUGGCUUGAAAAUAAUGGAAAGAUUUUUUCCAAAGUGAAAAUAGUUUUGCUUUUUCUUAUUAUAAAGUAAAUAUAGGUUCAAUGCUAAAAAUAUAAAUAUUAACAUAUAUAAAAGUGCAAAAAAUAAAGAAAAUCACACAUGAAUCUCCCCAUCCAGAGAUCAAACCUUUAUAUGUUUCUCCUUGCAGACUUUUCUAAACAUAUACUUGCAUCAAUUACCUCUUUUUCAAAAAUGGAGUAAUAACACACAUGCUGUUUGAUCCUCUUUCUCCCAUGCUUCUAUGUAUCAUACUCAUCUUUCCACCCAACAUGGAACCUGAAAAUCAAAGUCAUAGGGCAGUUCUCCACAGGUAUACUCCCUGACACCGUAACAACAUGAAAAUGGGAAUGCAAGACAUAAAACUUGGCCUAGGAGACCAGAUUCCACAUACCCACUCCAGCUUGGACAAGUACAGUAUCUCAGCACAGGUGGCUGCCCAAGUGGGAAGGGCAGAGGUUUUGCUCAGGGAGCCUGCCUGGUUGUGGACCUCGGAUCUGCAGCACUUUGCACAUGCUGCAGCCUCUGCACUGCAUACCCGACUCUGAAAGCUCUGCUGCCCAACCUCAGAGCCUUUCAUGUAACUGCCAGCAGGAACGUGCAGAAGCCUUCAGUUCACAUGGAUCCUGCUGGGUGUACCUUUCUGCCCCUGUGCCCUAGACUCAGAGCUGCUGUGGGCUGCUCAUUAAAUCAUUUUGUUCACCUUAUUACCUUCCCACAGCACUAAUAUAACAGGAAUACGAAUCUGUAUCACUUCUCACAACUUUUAAAGAGUAUAAAAGUAGCUCUGCCAAGAGUGGCCCAAAGUUAAAUUUGAUGUUUCAUUUUGUUUAAGGAAUGUGGCAUAGGGGCACCUGGGUGGUUUCAGUCAGUUAAGCGUCUGCCUUUGGCUCAGUUCAUGAUCCCAAAGUUCUGGGAUCAA